GCCGUUCUUAGUUCGUGGAGUGAUCUGUCUGCUUAAUUGCGUUUCAAAUAUAUUUUAUUAUAUAACGAGUCUACAAAGGAGUGGUUCAUUAACAGACAAUCAUAUCUUUGAGCGUCUGGAAUCUACUCUAUUUGGCUCAAUUGAACGCAACGGACGUGAUCGCGAGUCCUUGUUGAACUUCAGUAUAUAUUGACUAUCCCCGUAGGAAGGGAUUGGCAAUAAUUGAAUGUUCGCUUUCUAUUAGGUGUGUAUAUAUAGUCUCAAAAUUACAUGUAUUUGUAAUGGCGAGUAAUAUUUAUACUAUCCUGUAGGAAAACUCGGGCGACCGCUGUAAUAUUUCUCUUUAAAACAGAGGAAGAUUGCGGCAAUAACAGGUCUGUGAUGCCCUCAGAUGUCCCGGGCCGCA
rnacentral:rRNA from 1 species